UACGGAUUCCACGCUUAAGAAUGAUGAUUUAGCGCGUUAAAGAAAAGCCGUUAUUAACAGGGCAAACCUCAGCUUCAUUUUCAUGCAGAUAAUGAAGAAAAUUCCAAUUCCUCGCUGUCUACCAAGAACAAAGCUGAAAGAACGUGUAAUCGACCAGCGGGAGUUUCUACGUUUUUUUUGGUUGUCAUUUAAUUUUCACGCCAAUUCCCAUUCCAAUCUUUUUCCUGCGUGAUUUGUUUUAUGUUCGAUCCUAUCACCUUCCCGCUGGACGAAAUGGCAGGCUCCAGUCAAGCACAAUGGCACAAUUAUAAAGCAUUAGCACCAACAUUAUUAUGCCCUUGAUGUCCUUCGCUUUACAGGACAAGCAAGCAAGCCCUCCUGCGGUAAUUGUGCGUUGUUUGUCUGUAGAACUAGCCGACGAGGAAAUGCAAACAGCAACAAUAAUAACAACAAUAACAACAUUCAAAUGAGCCCACAAUGACACGCACGGCGCGCAACGUCUUCUUGCCACGUCUUGACGGAAGCAGGGAGCGGAACGGCACGGAACGGGGAACGUAAUAAUUGAGGCGGUCGCGGUCGGUUCGGUCGGUCGGUCGGUUGUCGCCUGGUGAAUAAUUAUUAUGUAAAUCAUUUCCUUUGCUUCUCUAUGGUACAGUGGGGCGUCAGCAGGUGGAGUAGGAGGGGAUGUUUGGUGACCAAACUCGCAUAACGCACCGUUGUGCGCCGGAGGAAAUCGUGGAAAUGGUACGACACUGGCAGCACACAACUGUUGAUGGUGGCCACUGAAGGGGGUCGGGGAACUCCCUUUUCCAGUACAGUGUUAACGAUUCCACUUGGGAGAUCGCACGUCCUAUCCGCCCACGCCCCCGGCUUGGAUGCUUCCAAUUUGUCGUAUGUGAGUCACCGCGGAUUCGACACAUCCGGAGCGCUCUUGUACCAGCAUCAGGCGCAACGUUUGCAGCUUGUGUUGCGGAUUCCGCAAGCAGCAGAAGAAACUCGCUUCUAAGGCUUCAUGUUGUGGCAACAGAAAGUAUUCCCUCAAACCGCAGAAAGACCUUCUUGAAGAAGGGAAUAAAAGCUCCCCGAUGGAAGCUCCAACGCGACAAAGAAAGAUACACACCGAAAGGUUAAUGCUGGCAAUGAUUCUCCAAAUCCACUACGUUACCGAAUGCAGAGCGCUUCCUCGCAACGUUGCACCGCUCUGCAAAAGAAACAACCAAAAUCCAACCAGUUCUUCUAAUUUUGUCCCACAAAAACAACACAACUGUCAAUUGAAUGCGUACAAAUUUGACAGAGAGAGAACGCGCACGCACACAGCCACAGAAACGAGCGCGGUAUGGUGACGUUGAUG